GAGCCCAUAGGAUGUCAUUUUUAAAUGUAUAAAAUCCUCAUUGUUUUUUCUGUAAAACCCAUGAUGAAGGCUGAACUGCGUUGGUUUUACUUUUAACACAAAGAAGCUUUCUUAUCAGCUUCCACUGUCCCACUCAAUUAAAUGCUAUUAACAAUACCUAUGUCUGUAGGGUAUAGAUGUUAUUCUGCAUUGCAGGUGUGAUUGAAUUACAUGAUCCCAAACUUUAGGUACCUUCCUGCAAUGGUAACUAUGGAUUUAGUACACAACGCCAAUGGUCAAGUCAGGACAAGUCAUUAAAAACAAAAGUGAUAUUUAAUUUAGUAGACAGACUCCUCUUCUGCAGUGUGAGGUAUCUCUGGUGCCGAUCAGAGAUAUUAUGGGGGUAUAGUUAUAAUAACCUAAAGACAGUCACCUGCCAGACCAAUGUGGGGCAAACUGUUGACCAUUAUUGGUAGAAAGAUGGCAGCACUGUCUCUUGGACUGGUGAUGUCACAACUGGUUGUCAGAGGUAAGUCUCCUACCGAAAAACUAGAUCAGGAUAGGAAUAGAAUUUAAUAGAAUUGGUAAUACCUGGUGACUUCUCAAUUACAAAAGUGGAUAAUUACUAUGUAAAAAUGUGUAAAUAUUAAAUAAUAACCUUUUUCAACAUGACAUUUCUGAUUAAAUACCAAGUAUACUUUGGUACGUCUAAAGUGAGCACUUGUUAACGGUCUGUAUGUGACUCUAACCCUAGGCAGUGCAGUUAAAGUCCUGUCUCAGCCGGGGAACACAGUACAGUUUCCAUGUGACUACAGCUAUGAAGACCACCAGGACAUCCCACAGCUGUCUGUCCAGUGGAGAGGCCCGAGCAACACGCUCCUCUGUCACUACAUCAAACACAAGGCCUUCCAGAACUGCACCCAGGGCUACUCACUGGACUACACGCCUAGGAAGAUCACUCUGAGCAUCACAGAGGUCAGAACGCAAGACUUCGGAUCUCACGUCUGCUCCGUUAGCAAGAGACACGAGUUCACGGACUUUAGCAUCGAGCUAGCCGUGAAGACAGAUCCCAUCACUUCCUUACCGACGAACAGGUGGGCUCAGUCAGGACUUCCUGAGGGACAUCUUGUUGUCCUUGUCUGCUCUGUGUUGGUCAGCACCUGGGGAUGAACAGUAAAAAUACUGGGAAAAUAAAGAACAGAUUGA